AGGGAGCGUAGGCGGCUGAUUAAGUCAGCGGUGAAAGGUAGCAGCUUAACUGUUUUACAUGCCGUUGAUACUGGUUAGCUUGAGUUGACAGAAGGCAGAUAGAAUUCCUGGUGUAGCGGUGAAAUGCUUAGAUACCAGGAGGAAUACCGAUUGCGAAGGCAGUCUGCUGCAGUCACACUGACGCUGAGGCUCGAAGGUGCGGGGAUCAAACAGGAUUAGAUACCCCCGGU
rnacentral:rRNA from 1 species